CCUAUCCUAACCAUUUCACUCUAAGAGCGCUAGUGAGAGAGAUAUAGGCUGAGGUAUAUGCUGUUAAUUGAAAAUGAUAAUUAAUCUUGAUUCCCUCUUUCCGCUCGGCACCUCACGGUAACAAAACCGAACCAGAAACGUAAGUCACCCCCUCACACUCCUAAAGCAUCAAGAACACCUAAACUGAACUUCACCCACUCCACACCUUCGGCCAAAUCAACCGUGGUACAGUUUGCUUGUCAGUUCAAUGUGUUUCAUCAUUUUCCACCAAGUCAGUGACGUUCCUAGGAGGGGGGAAUUACCAUCCAUUGUUAUUCCCUUCCCCUUCCAGCUGUGUGUUCAUCAGCAUAGAGAUGGAGAGUUCAUCGUUGUACUGCCUUCUCUUCCUUAGCGGGUUCUGACCGAGUUUCUCCUUGGACACACAUUGACCUGAUUCGAUUUAGUGCUGCCCCCAUUGCAUGCAGCUUGGGAUCAAACCCAGCAGUAUUUUCUGCCCCCUUUGUGCGCUGCUCAUCUUAGUCCAGGAGUGGUAAUCGUUGGAUAGUAGAAAGGUUGAGGACCUUAGCACAAAUCUUGGAGACUACCUUACUGACUGUUUUUUUUGGACCAAUUGUAUAACUGCAAGAAGAGGUGCGCAUAAUUAUUAAAGUGUGGACUGGUUUUGGUGCCGUUGAUUAAUAUUUGGACACGCGAGUGGAGUCAAUUACACCCGAGGUACCUAAGACAGCGGAAAGCUCGAGGAAGUUUCUUCAUGUGGGUGUUUUGACGAACUGUAUAAGAGGUACCACUUACCAUGAUAUGUAUGAAAAGCAGGAUGAAAGUUUUGUGAUUUGAUGAAGAUUCUCCUCGUUGAAAUUUAGAAUGUAAUGUGCUCUGUUUUACUUAUUUAACUUCCUGCAAGCUUAUAAGUAUAGAAUCUUGUUUAUGAUUUUAUUUAGUAAGGUAAUUAAUGUAAAAGUCUGGAUAUAAUUCAAGUGGGUGAUGUGGUUGGUUAGUGAAUUAAUCUUCUCAUCGAAAAUGAUUAGGUAGGAAGUAAUGACACUUCGAAAUAGUGACAUGUACAGUACAAAGACGAAACAUUGAGGCCCUAGUUUAUCAGCCUAAGUUUCUGUAAGUAAUAAGAGGUAAUGUUACUUCGUGAUUAGAUGGAACCUUACAAUCUUAGGAACUCUUUUUGAUUUAGGCCACUGACUUGUUAGUCCCAUUUUAUAUGGAAACCUUUAAAUUUAUUAUUAAUGAGUAGAAGUAGGGUGUGUCAUCAAGGGGAGUGAUAAUAAAGAGAUUUUGAGAAGCCUCUAUCUAUUGCCAUGUUUUACUUCAUGUGUUAAAAUUCUGAAUCGGGUGAAUAGAAGGUUAAUCACUUAUGCCUAUACUAGUAAUAAUUAUUAAAAUUUAUAAAGUAAAGAAGUGGUUUGCAAAUGGAUUUGUUUAGUUAUCUAUUAAUUAUGCACUAAAACCCUGAGCCUAUUACAGUUUUAUAUAGACUGGAGUUUCUUGGUUUAGUAAGGUUUUCGUGUCCGUUUUAUUCCACUUGUGUGUUAUGUAAAUGUUGAUGUUUGAAAAGAACUCAGGAAAUUGCUCGUAUCAUGAUUAAGCUUAGGAAGAUUUUUCUUUUAUUUCCUUCCGUACAAACAAAAUUGUGUUAUAUCUAUAUUAUUUAAUGAUCAUGUAAAGUACAAAAUUUAUUGGUAAUGCUCUGAGAUGAUGAUGACUUUUAUAGCUGGCUGUAUGAAUGCAGUAAACUAUAUGGCAUGGUGUAAUGGUGUUAAACCUUAGACUUAGGCAGAUUUUGGGGAUGGUAAGACGAUGUUUGGUGUAACACCCCGUGUAUACCCGGAAUAUUAACAUUACAUCGUAUUAAGCGGUGCUUAAUUAAAAAUGCGGAAUAUUCUUUUUCUUUUCAAUUAUGACGUCAUUAUAAAUUACCAACUUGAUUACUUAAUCAAUUUCAUAAAAUAACGCCUGUAUGUAAAUUGCAAUAAGACAUAUACUGAAAUACCUCAAUGUAUAGAUAAAGUGUGUAUCUAAAUCACGUCAUUACAUCAAGUAAUCCGGACAAUAUCCCGAUACAUUAUUACAACUCCAAAAGACUCAAAACAUAAUCAAGACAUAACAAUACUAUGUGUCAUGGACAAUCCCCAUGCUCACCAAAUAAACAUAGUAAAUAACAAGUCUCAACAUAAAACUCCACAAACGUAAACUGAAGCUAUAAGCAUAAACAACAGGCAAAUCCAGCACCCAAUCAUGGCAGCAUAAUAUAACAGCAAUCUAACUCAGCUCCGGCCUCCUGCCGCCUGAGGUCUCAACAUUACCUGACCCUGAAAUAAGCAUUCCCCAAACGUGGGGUGAGAUCUCUAAACUAGAAAUCUCAGUAAGACAAGGGGUCCUCAAGGAUC